UGGGGAAUUUUGGACAAUGGGCGCAAGCCUGAUCCAGCAAUGCCGCGUGUGUGAAGAAGGCCUUCGGGUUGUAAAGCACUUUUGUCCGGAAAGAAAACCUCGUGGUUAAUACCCGUGGGGGAUGACGGUACCGGAAGAAUAAGCACCGGCUAACUACGUGCCAGCAGCCGCGGUAAUACGUAGGGUGCAAGCGUUAAUCGGAAUUACUGGGCGUAAAGCGUGCGCAGGCGGUUCGCUAAGACAGAUGUGAAAUCCCCGGGCUUAACCUGGGAACUGCAUUUGUGACUGGCGGGCUAGAGUAUGGCAGAGGGGGGUAGAAUUCCACGUGUAGCAGUGAAAUGCGUAGAGAUGUGGAGGAAUACCGAUGGCGAAGGCAGCCCCCUGGGCCAAUACUGACGCUCAUGCACGAAAGCGUGGGGAGCAAACAGGAUUAGAUACCCUGGUAGUCCACGCCCUAAACGAUGUCAACUAGUUGUCGGGUCUUCAUUGACUUGGUAACGUAGCUAACGCGUGAAGUUGACCGCCUGGGGAGUACGGUCGCAAGAUUA
rnacentral:rRNA from 1 species